rnacentral:rRNA from 1 species
UGGGGAAUAUUGGACAAUGGGGGCAACCCUGAUCCAGCAAUGCCGCGUGUGUGAAGAAGGCCUGCGGGUUGUAAAGCACUUUUGGCAGGGAUGAAAAGCACUGGAUUAAUAACCCAGUGUGUUGACCUAACCUGCAGAAGAAGCACCGGCUAACUCUGUGCCAGCAGCCGCGGUAAUACAGGGGGGUGCGAGCGUUAAUCGGAAUUACUGGGCGUAAAGGGCGCGUAGGCGGUCGAGUAAGUCGGAUGUGAAAUCCCCGGGCUUAACCUGGGAAUUGCAUUCGAUACUGCUUGGCUAGAGUGUGGAAGAGGGAAGCGGAAUUUCCGGUGUAGCGGUGAAAUGCGUAGAUAUCGGAAGGAACACCAGUGGCGAAGGCGGCUACCUGGCCCAAUACUGACACUGAGGCACGAAAGCGUGGGGAGCAAACAGGAUUAGAUACCCCUGUAGUCCCUGAGCGGGCUGGCAAGGCGCAU